AUCUACGGCCAUAGAAUCCAGAAAGCACCGGGUCCCGUUUGCUCCCCGCAGUUAAGUUGGAUAUCGCUCGGUUAGUACCAAGGUGGGGGACCACUUGGGAAUCCCGGGUGCUGUAGUUU
rnacentral:rRNA from 1 species